GGGGUUGUGGCUCAGGGGUAGAGUGCUCACCUAGCAAGUGCGGGAUGCUGGGUUCGAUCCUCAGCGCCACA
rnacentral:tRNA from 1 species